AACAUACUCCCUCCGUCGAGAAAAGCUUGUCGAAGAAAUGGAUAAAAACGGAUGUAUCUAGAACUAAAAUACGUCUAGAUAUAUCCAUUUCUCCGACAAGUACUUCUGGACAGACGAAGUAUUAC
rfam:Hordeum vulgare subsp. vulgare, WGS project CAJW01000000 data, contig: morex_contig_156628